GAGGAACUCGGAUGAGGAACUCGGAGGAGGAGCUGGGCCCGCGCGUCCAUGAUUCGAAGGCUCGUUUUCGCAGCUUUUCCACGUCUUUUUCCGGUCCCACUGCCCUCCAUGCUAACUCACUGGGCGUCUCUAGCCGUUAUACCAACAAUGACUACGACCAGUGUUGGGAAAGCGCCCCCGGGGCCCCUCCCUGACGCCAGCCCAUCCUUGAGACUCCCUGCAAGGAGGCGGCCCGACCCAGUGGGUCCCCAGGACAAUAGAUGACACAGUACUUCUUCCUCUUCAUAACGGCCAUUUAAUAUCCUAGGAGAGCUAAAGGUUUGGAGUUCUUCCUGAGUUGCCAUUUCCCCACCUAGAACCCUUCACAGGUUGUACCUAUUAGCAAUGUGAUGGGAAACCAUUUCAGCAGCAAAGGUGAGUGAGCUAUGGCAGUGAGGCACAUCGCGUCCAAGUUUUAGCUGACUCAGGCAAUUGGCUCCAGGGAGAGGACCACAAAAGGUACCCACUUAAAGAGGCCACUUCCCACCAGUACUCAUCAAAACAUAACAAAGUGUUAAGAAACAGCAGCUGCUAUUUUGCUUUUGAGCAAAAUUUUCUUUUAACAGUUUGCCAGAUGACAGAGGUGGAAACAACUCAAAAAAUUGUUACCUUUUUUCUUUUUUGUCUUUUUGUUGUUGUUGAGACAGAGUCUUGCUCUGUCGCCCAGGCUGGAGUGCAGUGGCGUGAUCUCAGCUCACUGCAACCUCCAGCUCCCAGGUUCAAGCAAUUUCCCUGCCUCAGCCUCCAGAGUAGAUGGGAUUACAGGUGGGCACCACCACACCUAGCUAAUUUUUGUAUUUUUAGUAGAGAUGGGGUUUCACCAUGUUGGCCAGGCUGGUCUCUAACUCCUGACCUCAGGUGAUCCGCCCGUCUUGGCCUCCCAAAGUGCUGGGAUUACAGGCGUGAGCCACUGCACCGAGCCUGUUUUGUUUUUUUUAGUGCAAAUUAACAAACUGAUUCUAAAGUUUAUAUAGAAAUGCUAAGGAUUUAGGAUUGCCAAAACAAUUUUGAAAAAGAAUAAAAUUGGAAUACUUGUAUUUUUUUAAGAUUUUUUUCCUAAAGGUACAGUAAUCAGGAUGGUAUGGUAUCAGCAUAGAGACAAAUAGAUCAACAGAGCAGAACAGAAAAGUCCAGAAAUAUGAGGUUGAAUUUCUUAAAGAAAAAAAAAGUCCAGAAAUAGAUCUAGAUACAUACAAUAGCUGAUUUUUUAUAAAUUACUAAGGUAAUUCUGCAUCUAGCUAAGCUGAAAAUUAGGCCGAGGAUCUGUUUGUAACAGUGACAGUAAUGUAAAGGAGACCAAUUGUGCAGACUCGGCAGGUCCCCUGAGUCAAAGUCGUGGCUCAUACAGGGAGAGGGUGGGAUCCUGAGACCUGUUCUCUGUCACAGUGUAGUCCGCAGGAACUUUACCCAACCAUCAUGAUGGUCCAUAUAUUCAUGACAAAUGCUAGUAGUACCCAGUGAGUAGCAAGUGACAAGGGUCAUAGAUAUCCUAGUAAGACUUCUUACUAAGGCAGUACAGAAACCUGAAGAUAUGGGCACUUAUCAAACGGAUGAAGUUUUGGUGGGGCCCAGUGGUUUGGGGACAUCACCCAAAGGUAAAAGAAAGUUGUUCCACCUUGCACCCUCUAAUCCCAAAAAAAUUAGUACAGGUCCUGGUGGGCCCCUUUGGAUUUGGGAGGUAGCAUAUUCUGCACCUGAGAAAACUGUUCCAACACAUGUAUUAGGUGACCUAAAAAGCUUCCACUUUUUAUUUAUUACUAUUUUUUUUUCUUGACACGGAGUCUUGCUCUGUAGCCCAGGCUGGAGUACAGUGCCGUGAUCUCGGCUCACUGCAACCUCUGCUUUCUGGAUUCAAGCAAUUCUCCUGCCUCAGCCUCCCUAGUAGCUGGGAUUACAGGCGCCCGCCACCACGCCCAGCAUUUUUGUAUUUUAGUAGUGGAGGGGUUUCACCAUGUUAGCCAGGCUGAUCUUGAACUCCUGACCUCAAGCAAUCCACCCACCUCCGCCUCCCAAAGUGCUGGGAUUACAGACGUGAGCCACCAUGCCCGGCCAGCUUCCACUUUUUAUUGGGGCAAGAGAGCACUCUAUAGUAAAUCCAAGCAACAGUGCAAGCUUACUUGCAAAUUCAGUGGUUCCAGAAAUAUCCUUGAUGGAUACAGGUGCUGUAUGGAGUUGCUGGCAAACCCCAAUAAGAGUGUGCAUUCGUGUGCUAGGGCUCCUAUAACAAAGUACCACAAACCGGGUGGCUUAAACAACAGAAAUCUGUUGGUUCACAGUCUGGAGGCUAGAAGUCAGAAAUUAAGGUGUGGUUCCUAUUGAGGCUGUGAGAAGGAAUCUGUCCAUGCCUCUCUCCUAGUUUCUGGGGAUUUGCUGGAUAUAUUUUGCAUUCCUUGGCGUCGUAAGAAGCAUUUUCCCAGUCUUUACCCUCAUCUUCAUUUGGCAUUCUCCCUGUGUACUAUCUCUAAACUUCCCUUUUUUAUGAGGAUACCAGUCAUUAGAUGAGGGACCCACCCUAAUCCACUAUGACCUCAUCUUAAGUAAUUACAUCUGCAAUGCCUCUAUUGCCAAAUAAGAUCACAUUCUGAGGUAUUAGGGGCUAGAACUUCAACCUGUUAAUUGGGGAUGAGGUGGAGGUACAAUUCAACCCAUCAUAAAGAGUCACAGCACAAAUACCUAAGAUUCUGGAGCAAGGUCAUGCCUUCUAAGGCAAAAAAACAAAACAAAACCCACGUUUCCAAACUCCCAGGUCACUUACCUCUGCUCUACUGCCACCUCUCCCAUAAACUUACUCCUAUGGCCUUAUAGAAGUUCCCUACAACUAACUGAUGGAGACAGAAGAGCCUUGGCCUCUGCACAGAUUGGGGAUUGGGUCAGUUCAGCAUGUUGGCAUCUUCCAGAAACAGACUGUUCUUCAUUACAGCCCCAUUCGCAUUGCCCUGAAGCAUACUGGUGAAGAAAAAUUAUCUCAGUGAGCAAUGGUACAUUUGGUCACCCAUGCCAUAUUUUGGAGGAGGUAGCCUAAGGUACGGAUAUGCAUUGACUCCUAGGCAGUGAUGAAUGGCUUGGCUUGUUGGUUAGGGACCAUCUUAUUGUUUAUGCAAUAGGCUUAUGAACAGAGACCAUGGUAGCAGGGAUAGAGGCUGUGCGUGGUCCCAACAAUAUGGGCUACCUCUUAUUUUUCUUUUCUUUUUUUUUUUUUUUUUUUGAGACGGAGUCUCGCCCUGUUGCCCAGGCUGGAGUGCAGUGGUGUGAUCUCAGCUCACUGCAGCCUCCACCUCCCAGGUUCAAGCAAUUCUCCUGCCUCAGCCUCCCGAGUAGCUGGGACUACAGGCACACACCACCAUACCCAGGAUAGCAAAACCUGAUCUCAUAAAACCUAGGUCACAAAGGACAGCCCUGCAAAACAGACCCUAUUUGGAUCAAGUGAACCAGUUCCUGGAACCUGAAUAAUGACUCCUGAAUCAAGGGAUACUACAGAUUUGUCUCCAGGGGGUACCCAGGAGAUGGAAGGCAUCGUGAUAGUGAAGGUGGAGGAGGAAGAUGAAGAAGACCAUUUUCAAAAGGAAAGAAACAAAGUAGAGUCAUCGCCACAAGUUCUCAGUCGCUCUACAACUAUGAAUGAGAGAGCCUUAUUAUCAUCGUAUUUAGUUGCAUAUAGAGUGGCAAAAGAGAAAAUGGCUCACACAGCGGCUGAAAAAAUUAUCCUUCCAGCAUGUAUGGACAUGGUACGGACAAUUUUUGAUGACAAAUCAGCUGAUAAACUAAGAACUAUACCUCUUAGUGAUAAUACAAUAUCUCGUCGAAUCUGUACGAUUGCAAAACAUUUGGAAGCAAUGCUUAUUACACGGCUGCAGUCCGGUAUAGACUUUGCAAUCCAACUCGAUGAGAGCACUGAUAUUGCAAGUUGUCCCACACUGUUGGUUUAUGUCAGAUAUGUGUGGCAAGAUGAUUUUGUAGAGGAUCUCUUAUGUUGUUUAAAUUUAAAUUCACAUAUAACUGGAUUAGAUUUAUUUACUGAAUUAGAAAACUGCCUUGUUGGUCAGUAUAAAUUAAACUGGAAACAUUGUAAAGGAAUUUCAAGUGAUGGAACAGCAAAUAUGACCGGAAAACACAGCAGACUUACUGAAAAAUUGUUAGAAGCAACCCUCAACAAUGCUGUUUGGAAUCACUGUUUUAUUCAUCGAGAAGCUUUGGUAUCCAAAGAAAUUUCACCAAGUCUAAUGGAUGUAUUGAAAAAUGCAGUGAAAAUUGUUAAUUUUAUUAAAGGAAGCUCACUGAAUAGCCGACUUCUCGAAAUAUUUUGUUCAGAGAUUGGAGUGAACCACACCCACUUAUUGUUUCAUACAGAAGUUCGUUGGCUUUCUCAAGGAAAAGUAUUGAGCAGAGUAUAUGAACUCAGGAACGAGAUUUACAUUUUUCUCGUUGAAAAGCAAUCUCAUUUGGCAAAUAUUUUUGAAGAUGACAUUUGGGUAACAAAAUUGGCAUAUUUAAGUGAUAUUUUUGGCAUUCUUAAUGAAUUAAGCCUGAAAAUGCAGGGGAAAAACAAUGAUAUAUUUCAGUAUCUUGAACAUAUUCUAGGAUUCCAAAAGACGUUAUUAUUGUGGCAAGCAAGACUUAAAAGUAACCGCCCUAGCUACUAUAUGUUUCCAACAUUAUUGCAACACAUCGAAGAGAACAUUAUUAAUGAAGACUGCUUAAAAGAAAUAAAAUUAGAGAUAUUGUUUCAUCUCACUUCUUUGUCUCAAACUUUUAAUUAUUACUUUCCGGAAGAGAAAUUUGAAUCAUUAAAGGAAAAUAUUUGGAUGAAAGAUCCAUUUGCUUUUCAAAACCCAGAAUCAAUAAUUGAGUUAAACUUGGAGCCUGAAGAAGAGAAUGAAUUAUUGCAGCUCAGUUCAUCAUUCACACUAAAGAAUUAUUAUAAGAUAUUAAGUUUAUCAGCAUUUUGGAUUAAGAUUAAAGAUGACUUUCCACUGCUAAGUAGGAAGAGUAUAUUGCUGUUACUACCAUUCACAACUACGUAUUUGUGUGAACUAGGAUUUUCAAUCUUGACACGAUUAAAAACAAAGAAGAGAAAUAGGCUCAAUAGUGCACCAGAUAUGCGGGUAGCAUUAUCUUCGUGUGUUCCUGACUGGAAGGAACUUAUGAACAGACAAGCACACCCAUCACAUUAAAUAAAAUCUUUACAAAAUUCUGUGUUUAGCCAGUUGUGGUGGCUUACGCCUGUAAUCCCAGCAGUGGGAGACCGAGGUGGGCAGAUCACUUGAGUUGAAGACCAGCCUGGCCAACAUGGUGAAACCCCAUCUCUACUAAAAAUAGAAAACUUAGCCAGGCGUGGUGGCACAUGCCUGCAGUCCCAGUUACUUGGGUGCCUGAGGCAGGAGAACCUCUUAAACCAGGAAGGCAGAGAUUGCAGUGAGCUGAGAUAAUCCCACUGCAUUCCAGCCUGGGCAACAGCGUGAGACUUCAUCUCAAAAAAAAAAAAAAAAAAAUUGUAUUUGUACUUUUAAAAGGAUUUUGCAGUAUGUUGUAAUUAAACGUUAAUAAAAUUAUAUUUGUAAUUAA